rfam:Micromonospora humi strain DSM 45647 genome assembly, contig: Ga0070213_108
CUUCACCGAGCCGAGCCGGAGCGGCCGGUCGGCCGGGCGUUCCUGCCCGUACGUGGCGAGCAGCGCCUGCGCCUC